CCACGGGGGGCACCAGUGGGGAAUCUUAGACAAUGGGGGAAACCCUGAUCUAGCCAUGCCGCGUGAGCGACGACGGCCCUAGGGUUGUAAAGCUCUUUCAGCAGGGAAGAUAAUGACGGUACCUGCAGAAGAAGUCCCGGCUAACUCCGUGCCAGCAGCCGCGGUAAUACGGAGGGGACUAGCGUUGUUCGGAAUUACUGGGCGUAAAGCGCGCGUAGGCGGAUUGUUAAGUCGGGGGUGAAAUCCCGGGGCUCAACCCCGGAACUGCCCUCGAUACUGGCAGUCUUGAGUUCGAGAGAGGUGAGUGGAAUUCCGAGUGUAGAGGUGAAAUUCGUAGAUAUUCGGAGGAACACCAGUGGCGAAGGCGGCUCACUGGCUCGAUACUGACGCUGAGGUGCGAAAGCGUGGGGAGCAAACAGGAUUAGAUACCCCAGUAGUC
rnacentral:rRNA from 1 species